rnacentral:lncRNA from 1 species
ACAGCACAUCUCCCUAAAUGAUGGCAUGCCAGGCUGGUGAACACUAACCUCCAAGAGAGAAGUCAUCUGUCACCGGGCUCUCAGACAGCUUGCCUUAACCCACAGACUUCUAAGGCAGAGAAUGCUAUAUGGGAACCUGGAAGGACAUUACUAUCAGAGCAGCAGACAGAGAUUUAAAUAGAAACAUCUUUCCAACACUCACACCAAAUUUGGGAAGUGAAGCGACUAAGAUGUCCGCAAAGUGAAGAGGAACCUGGCUCACACCUCAGGUGAUUCAGGCAGCACUGUGCUCCAGCACUCAGGAUGAUGCAGGCCCAGUUGACGGUGUUAUUUGGAGAUGAGGAAGUGUGACCUGAGUAGAGGAGGAGAAGUGCGGCCGGGCGGUUGCUUUGAAGUUUCCGAAGCCGAACGCCAUCCUCUUCUAGCUUCCUCUGCCUUUGUUUGUGAUCCGAGACCCGAGCUGCUGCUUUGAGCGGCCACCUGCUCCCCCUACUCCAAUGUGAACUCCAAUCCACAACUCUAAGCCCUAAACCCUUCCAACCCACAACUCUAAGCCCUACCGAGACCUUUCCUUCUGCAAGUUGCCUUGGUCGAUGUUUUUCAUAGCAGGACAGUAACUAAAACACCUACCUGAAGAAAAGUUUGAAACGGGAACU